rnacentral:rRNA from 1 species
AUGCUGUCACGAUGGAUCCCUGCCGCCGGGCGCCAGCGGGGGCUGCUGGCCAGGCUGGGCUCACGCGCUUAUUCCUACGGGAGGGUGUUCGACGCAGCGGCCCGGGACGGCGAACUUCGGGUGUUCGUUGUCGCCGGUGAGGUCUCCGGCGAUUCGCUCGCUUCGCGCCUCAUGGCGUCCCUCAGGAAGCUCUCCCCUGUUCCCGUUCGUUUUGCUGGCGUUGGCGGGGAAUUAAUGUGCAAGGAAGGGUUGCAAUCACUUUUUCCCAUGGAAGAAAUUGCCAUAAUGGGUUUGUGGGAACUGCUGCCACACAUAUAUAACGUCAAGAGGAAGAUCAAGGAUACUUUAGAUGCUGCUAUAUUAUUUCGGCCUCAUGCUGUAGUUACUGUUGAUUCAAAGGGGUUUUCGUUUCGCCUAUUGCAGCAAUUAAAAUGUAGGUACAACCAAAAAGUUGAUAGCCCUCUACAUGUCCAUUAUGUUGCACCAUCAUUCUGGGCCUGGAAAGGUGGUGAAAGCAGGCUCUCAAAGUUGCAUAAUUUUGUGGAUCAUAUGUUAUGUAUCCUUCCUUUUGAGGACGAAAUUUGCAGAUUACAUGGGUUGCCUGCUACAUAUGUGGGCCAUCCCUUAUUGGAUGAUGCUGCUGGCUUAAAUGUGGCAGGGACUUCGCUUCAACAUAAAAAUGUGGACUCAGAAUUAUCUCCUGACAUGUCCAUGCGUCAACGAAGUGGUGAAGCUUUUAGACUGGAGCAUGGGUUGUCUUCAGAUGCCACAAUCUUAACCAUGCUGCCUGGAAGCAGGAUGCAGGAAGUAGCUCGUAUGCUUCCAAUCUUCUUUCGGACUGUGCAACAUUUAAGUCACACUUUAAAUGAUCUGUCACUAGUCAUCCCAGUUGCUCCACAUCGGGAUGUGAGGACCUAUGUUGAAAAUGUAGUUCGAUCAGUGCCGUUUCCAGUGGUACUGAUACCUGGGGGUUCACUAGAAAAAAGAUAUGGUGCAUUCAAUGCUAGUAAAGCAGCAUUAUGUACUUCCGGAACAGCUGUCAUGGAACUAAUGCUAGCAAAGCUACCCUGUGUGGUGGCCUACCAAGCUCAUUUCCUUACCGAGUGCUUCAUCCACCUGAGAAAAAAGAUAAACUUUAUUUCUCUACCAAACAUCCUUUUGGACUCUCCCAUUGUGCCUGAGAUCCUUUUUCGAGCGUGCACAGAUAAAAAUCUAGCUGCAAAACUAAGCGAGGUUAUCUUCAACGAUGAAGUCCGUCAGCUGCAAGUUGGAUCAGCUGAGCGAAUGCUCCAGGUUCUCUACGAACCGAUCAAGCGACAAGGCAAUUUGUUCGCAGAGGAGUUGGGGGACUCGGGCUUGUCAUCAGAUGUCUACUCCCCCAGCACGAUUGCAGCAUUGACAGUGCUUUAUACGGACAAACAUCGGCGGAUGGUGCACCGGAAUUGA